GGAGACAGGUGCUGCAUGGCUGUCGUCAGCUCGUGUCGUGAGAUGUUGGGUUAAGUCCCGCAACGAGCGCAACCCUUGCCUUUAGUUGCCAGCAGUUCGGCUGGGCACUCUAAAGGGGACUGCCGGUGUUAACCGGGGGAAGGUGGGGAUGACGUCAAGUCCUCAUGGCCUUUAUGACCAGGGCUACACACGUACUACAAUGGCCGAUACAAAGGGCAGCGACACUGCGAGGUGAAGCCAAUCCCGUAAAAUCGGUCUCAGUCCGGAUUGGAGUCUGCAACUCGACUCCAUGAAGUUGGAAUCGCUAGUAAUCGUGGAUCAGCAUGCCACGGUGAAUACGUUCCCGGGCCUU
rnacentral:rRNA from 1 species